rnacentral:misc_RNA from 1 species
UUUUAGCCCAGAUUGCAGAGGAAAGCCCGGAGCAAAAAAAAAUGCAUUUCUUGCUGAAAAAAAGCGACUGAAAGAAGCUCUUUUUGCAACAUUAGAAAUGCAUUUUUUUUGUGUCCCGAUAGCUAUCGGGAUGUAACGGAAAGCUGGAUUAGCU